AAGUCGUAACAAGGUUUCCGUAGGUGAACCUGCGGAAGGAUCAUUAGUGAAUCUUCAAAAGUCGGCUCUGUGGAUUGUGCUGGUGGAGACACAUGUGCACGUCCGCGGGUCGCAAACCCACACACCUGUGCAUCUAUGACUCUGAGUGCCGCUUUGCAUGGCCUUUGACCGGCCUGGCGCUCGAGUACUUUCACACACUCUCGAAUGUAACGGAAUGUCUUGUUGUGCAUAAUGUACAAACAGAGACAACUUUCAACAACGGAUCUCUUGGCUCUCGCAUCGAUGAAGAACGCAGCGAAAUGCGAUAAGUAAUGUGAAUUGCAGAAUUCAGUGAAUCAUCGAAUCUUUGAACGCACCUUGCACCCUUUGGUAUUCCGAAGGGUACACCCGUUUGAGUGUCAUUGUAAUCUCACUAUGAUCGACUUUGUCUUUCUGUAUGUGGACUUGGAUGUUGUCGUUAUAAUCUACGGCUCGUCUGAAAUGCUUCAGUGUACCCCGCUUUGCGGCGUAUUCGGUGUGAUACAUCUUCACCGGAGUUGAUCCUUUGGGGUCGCGUCUGUAAUGUGUGGCUCUAUGCUUCCUACCGUCUCUCGAGACAAUCACUGACAAUUUGACCUCAAAUCGGGUGGGACUACCCGCUGAACUUAA
rnacentral:rRNA from 1 species